GCGGGCGUGGCGGAACUGGUAGACGCGCGGGAUUUAGGAUCCCGUGGGGCAACCCGUGCAGGUUCGACUCCUGUCGCCCGCA
rnacentral:tRNA from 1 species